rnacentral:tRNA from 1 species
UCUCGAUUGGUCUAGUGGUGAGGAUACCUGCUUGUCAUUGGAUAGCUAUCGCUUAGAUAGGAAUUAUUAAUGCGCAGGCGGCCGGGGUUCGAUUCCCCGAUCGAGAG